GACGUAGGGGACGAGCGUUGUCCGGAUUCAUUGGGCGUAAAGCGCGCGUAGGCGGCCACGCAAGUCGGGUGUGAAAUCCCGGAGCUCAACUCCGGAACUGCACUCGAAACUGCGCGGCUUGGGGUAGGUAGGGGAGAUCGGAAUUCCUGGUGUAGCGGUGGAAUGCGCAGAUAUCAGGAGUAACACCGGUGGCGAAGGCGGAUCUCUGGGCCUUACCUGACGCUGAGGAGCGAAAGCCAGGGGAGCAAACGGG
rnacentral:rRNA from 1 species